rnacentral:rRNA from 1 species
AAUAUUGUACAAUGGGGGCAACCCUGAUCCAGCCAUCCCGCGUGUGUGAAGAAGGUCUUCGGAUUGUAAAGCACUUUAUGUUGGGAGGAAGGGUUUUAGGUUAUUACCCUUAAAUUUUUACGUUACCAACAGAAUAAGCUCCCGUUAACUCUGUGCCAGCAGCCUCGGUAAUACAGAGGGUGUAAGCGUUAAUCGGAAUUACUGGGCGUAAAGCGAGCGUAGGUGGUUCAGUAAGAUGGGUGUGAAAUCCCCGGGCUUAACCUGGGAACUGCUUUCAUAACUGCUGAGCUAGAGUACGGUAGAGGGUAGUGGAAUUUCCUGUGUAGCGGUGAAAUGCGUAGAUAUAGGAAGGAACACCAGUGGCGAAGGCGACUACCUGGACUGAUACUGACACUGAGGUGCGAAAGCGUGGGGAGCAAAC